rnacentral:rRNA from 1 species
CGAACUGCGAAUGGCUCUUAUAUAAGUUAUCGUUUAUUUGAUAGUACCUUACUACUUGGAUAACCGUGGUAAUUCUAGAGCUAAUACAUGCUAAAAAUCCCGACUUCGGAAGGGAUGUAUUUAUUAGAUUAAAAACCAAUGCCCUCUGGGCUCUUUGGUGAUUCAUGAUAACUUCUCGAAUCGCACGGCCUUGCGCCGGCGAUGGUUCAUUCAAAUUUCUUCCCUAUCAACUUUCGAUGUUUGGGUAUUGGCCAAACAUGGUUGCAACGGGUAACGGAGGGUUAGGGCUCGACCCCGGAGAAGGAGCCUGAGAAACGGCUACUACAUCCAAGGAAGGCAGCAGGCGCGCAAAUUACCCAAUCCCGACACGGGGAGGUAGUGACAAUAAAUACUGAUACAGGGCUCUUUUGGGUCUUGUAAUUGGAAUGAGUACAAUUUAAAUCCCUUAACGAGGAACAAUUGGAGGGCAAGUCUGGUGCCAGCAGCCGCGGUAAUUCCAGCUCCAAUAGCGUAUAUUAAAGUUGUUGUGGUUAAAAAGCUCGUAGUUGAACCUUGGGCCUGGCUGGCCGGUCCGCCUCACCGCGUGUACUGGUCCGGCCGGGCCUUUCCCUCUGUGGAACCUCAUGCCCUUCACUGGGUGUGACGGGGAAACAGGACUUUUACUUUGAAAAAAUUAGAGUGCUCCAGGCAGGCCUAUGCUCGAAUACAUUAGCAUGGAAUAAUGAAAUAGGACGUGUGGUUCUAUUUUGUUGGUUUCUAGGACCGCCGUAAUGAUUAAUAGGGACAGUCGGGGGCAUCAGUAUUCAAUUGUCAGAGGUGAAAUUCUUGGAUUUAUUGAAGACUAACUACUGCGAAAGCAUUUGCCAAGGAUGUUUUCAUUAAUCAGGAACGAAAGUUAGGGGAUCGAAGACGAUCAGAUACCGUCGUAGUCUUAACCAUAAACUAUGCCGACUAGGGAUCGGACGAUGUUAU